rnacentral:sRNA from 1 species
GGCAAAGCCCGUCGGGGAUGCCGGGCUU